ACGCUGGCGGCGUGCUUACACAUGCAAGUCGAACGCUGUCCAUUCGGUGGCAACACCGAUGAAGACGGAGUGGCGAACGGGUGAGUACCACGUGAGCAACCUGCCCCGAAGACUGGGAUAACACCGGGAAACCGGUGCUAAUACCGGAUGCCCCCACCGGAUCGCAUGUUCUGGUGAGGAAAUGGAUUCCGCUUCGGGAGGGGCUCGCGGCCUAUCAGCUUGUUGGUGAGGUAACGGCUCACCAAGGCUUCGACGGGUAGCUGGUCUGAGAGGACGAUCAGCCACACUGGGACUGAGACACGGCCCAGACUCCUACGGGAGGCAGCAGUGGGGAAUCUUGCGCAAUGGGCGAAGGCCUGACGCAGCAACGCCGCGUGAGGGACGAAGGCUUUCUGAGUUGUAAACCUCUUUCAGCAGGGACGAUUAUGACGGUACCUGCAGAAGAAGCACCGGCCAACUACGUGCCAGCAGCCGCGGUGAUACGUANGGUGCGAGCGUUGUCCGGAUUUAUUGGGCGUAAAGAGCUCG
rnacentral:rRNA from 1 species